CAUGUUACAGGGGUCAAAAAGCACUUCAAAAUCCAUCCCCAAACCUCUAGGAUGAUGAUGAAGUGAAAAAAAAAAAACUAGUAGGAUGGUGGUAAUCAUGCAACAAGCUAUGGCCUAUUCAAAUAUGGGUUCAAAGAAUUUUUUUUAAAAAAAAGUACUUUAAUUAAAGUGAAGGAAACUGUGUUUAAGAUUUAUCGCAUUUUCUUCUUCAUGUUAAGUUUCCUUCUCGCUUUCUUACUUUGUUUGAAUGCCAACCUUAAAUCCUCUCAUUUUGGCUAUAUUUUAUUUCUAUCUGCUAUGAUAUAUAAUUGACAAUGAAGAACUAAUUGGGUUGGCAUGUUGGAUAUGGAUUUAUACUUUGCAACCUGAUUAUAAAUGGAUUGGGUAUGGGUUAGGAGCUUUCUGACUCAACCAAUAUUUUUUGACUUGGCCCAAGCCUAACCCAUUCUAAUCCAUUUCCACCUCUAUGUCAUGAUUACAUUGCACCAUAGUACAACAAACAAAACAACAAUGAUUAUUGUUAAUAUAAAGGACAAAAAUGCCCUCCUCUUUCAGGUUUGUCUUCUCUAAUAAGGGUUUAUUAUGGUUAUUCCAUAAAGGAGCGCAUGAUAUGGGGUGAUCAUCCCAAGAUCAAGGGUGAUGUGGGUGGAGGUGAUAAGAUCACAAUGUUUGGUUGUAUCAUGGUAAUUCUACAUAGUAGUGAUUCCAAAUCAUCUCCACUCCUCACAUCCCCACCCAAUCCAAUGAUGGAUACCCAUCCUUAAGGUCAGGAAUCCAAAAUCAUCUUAGGGAGUGAUCUUAGAUUACCAUGGUGAUCCC
rnacentral:lncRNA from 1 species